rnacentral:rRNA from 1 species
GACGAACGCUGGCGGCGUGCUUAACACAUGCAAGUCGAGCGAAGUAUUCAAGAUAGAUUUCUUCGGAUUGAAGUCUUGAAUAUCUUAGCGGCGAACGGGUGAGUAACGCGUGAGAAACCUGCCUUUCACAAAGGGAUAGCCUCGGGAAACUGGGAUUAAUACCUUAUGAUACUUACAUUUCACAUGAGAAGUAAGUUAAAGCGCAAAGCGGUGAAAGAUGGUCUCGCGUCCCAUUAGUUAGUUGGUGAGGUAACGGCUCACCAAGACCGCGAUGGGUAGCCGGCCUGAGAGGGUGAACGGCCACACUGGAACUGAGACACGGUCCAGACUCCUACGGGAGGCAGCAGUGGGGAAUAUUGCACAAUGGAGGAAACUCUGAUGCAGCGACGCCGCGUGAGUGAAGAAGGCCUUCGGGUCGUAAAACUUUGUCCUAGGGGACGAUAAUGACGGUACCCUAGGAGGAAGCCCCGGCUAACUACGUG